UUAAUUUUUUUUUCAUCCAUGAUCUCUAAUAAACUGCAGAUAAAUAAUAAUAAUCUAAAUGCUCACCCCAAGGCGUUUCAGAUUCCGUUCCGGGUUCAACACCCAAGCGACACUCCUCCGUUCGUCCCUGCUGCAUGAGUAAAAACGUGGCCAUAAAAGAAAAAAAAAAGAGGAAAGUGGAAAAAGGGGAUCUACUUUUGCAGGACAAGGCUUAAGUUCUCAAGAGGCAUUUUGCGACUUCUUCUGGAUUAGGUAUGUAUGUAUAUUGAAUCACCCACCUAAGACUUGGCACACUAUCUUCUCUCUUAACUCCUCGUCCCUUUUGCAGAUAAAUUCACCAGAUAGGCGCCUAAGUUUCUUAAAUCACAAAAUUAAUUUUUUCUUCGAAUUAUGGAAUUAUCAAAGUAAUUCGGAUACGUUAAAACCAAAUUAAUGUAACUUAUAAAACAUAUUUUGAUUUCACUUAAAACAAAUGUGCUCUUUUGCAUUUUUGAUAUAUUGUUCGGCUAAAACGAAAAUUGAAACAAUUAAUAAUUUAUUGAAUCUAUAAUGGUACAAGUUUCCCUGGGAACACUUAAAUACCUGCAAUAUUUAACUUCGAGAGGGUCAUAGUAAAUUAUCUGAUUCAAGAAAAUCGUAACCACUUCAUUUUUGUCACAUUAUCAGAAAGUUAAUUCGAAAUCCAAAAUUUGAAUAUGGACUGCGAAAUUUUUGUUCUGUCAUAAGUCAAAUGUCAAAAAUAUCAUUUUU